rnacentral:lncRNA from 1 species
CAAGGGAAAGAGGGAUGGAACUCUAUUUUACUGGGGAUGGGACGCAGUGCUGAUAAUCCUGUGUAUAUAUGUCUCCAGAUCCCAAGCAGCCAGAGGAAAAGAAAAAGAGAAGGAUGGAACUACAGACUCUGGGAUCAAGUUAGAACCUGUACCAGGACUGCCUGGAGCUCUGCCUCCACCUCCUGCCGCAGAAGAGGAAGCGUCUGCCAACUACUUCAACCUGCCCCCAAGUGGGCCUCCAGCCGUAGUGAACAUUGCCCUGCCCCCACCCCCUGGGAUCGCC